CAAUAGCGUAUAUUAAAGUUGUUGCAGUUAAAAAGCUCGUAGUUGGAUUUGUGGCGUACGGUGGGUUCCGGGCACUUGUUGUCUGAGUAACUUGCUGUUGCCAUCCUUGGGUGGAACCUGUGUGGCAUUAGGUUGUCGUGCAGGGGAUGCCCAUCAUUUACUGUGAAAAAAUUAGAGUGUUCAAAGCAGGCUUAUGCCGUUGAAUAUAUUAGCAUGGAAUAAUGAGAUAGGACUUUUUUGCUAUUUUGUUGGUUUGCGCAAAGAGGUAAUGAUUAAUAGGGACAGUUGGGGGUAUUCGUAUUCCAUUGUCAGAGGUGAAAUUCUUGGAUUUUUGGAAGACGAACUACUGCGAAAGCAUUUACCAAGGAUGUUUUCAUUAG
rnacentral:rRNA from 1 species